GCCGGCAGCUAGCUCUCUGCAACUCUCACAUGGUCGCCCACUGAAGCUAAGCAGGGCUGCGCCCGGUCAGUACCUGGAUGGGAGACCACAUGGGAAAGCUAGGUUGCUGCCGGAA
ensembl:rRNA 5S_rRNA 5S ribosomal RNA